UACGGAGGGUGCGAGCGUUGUUCGGAAUCACUGGGCGUAAAGGGCUCGUAGGCGGCCAACUAAGUCAGACGUGAAAUCCCUCGGCUUAACCGGGGAACUGCGUCUGAUACUGGAUGGCUUGAGAUUGGGAGAGGGAUGCGGAAUUCCAGGUGUAGCGGUGAAAUGCGUAGAUAUCUGGAGGAACACCGGUGGCGAAGGCGGCAUCCUGGACCAACACUGACGCUGAGGAGCGAAAGCCAGGGGAGCAAACGGG
rnacentral:rRNA from 1 species